UACGGGGGGAGCAAGCGUUGUUCGGAAUUACUGGGCGUAAAGCGCACGUAGGCGGCUUUGUAAGUUAGAGGUGAAAGCCCGGAGCUCAACUCCGGAAUUGCCUUUAAGACUGCAUCGCUAGAAUUGUGGAGAGGUGAGUGGAAUUCCGAGUGUAGAGGUGAAAUUCGUAGAUAUUCGGAAGAACACCAGUGGCGAAGGCGACUCACUGGACACAUAUUGACGCUGAGGUGCGAAAGCGUGGGGAGCAAACAGG
rnacentral:rRNA from 1 species